UCCUGGAGCGAGAGACCGCGCGAGCCGGGCUAGAAAGAAGUGGGCGCCGGCCGAGGCGGGCAAGCGGCGCGCCCACCAGCUGGCGCGCGUGCGCAUAAGCGUUUCCUUCACUUUCCCUAUUUUUUGCCCUCUCUCUCCUCUAUUACCCUCUUAGCUCUCCUUUGAGAGCCUUUCCUUCUCUCUCCCAUCGUUUUUCGUGUGCCCAGCUGCCAAUCAAGCUACCCACCUCUCUAUUUGCGGGGGAAGGGAGGCGGGACUCAACCCCCUCUAUUACUAGGGGGGUUGUUAUGGUGUUCUGCACAAAGGAACUGUUUGGGGAGUUAUUCCCUGGCUGAUCAUUGGAAUGGAGCAAGGCGGAAAGGAACAGGAAACUAUCCAAUCACUUCAGAUCCUGCUCUGGUCACCUUAGAUCUAGUGAUGUUGGCACAGCACCCCAGCCAUUAGGCUCACUGGAGACUAGCAACUCCAAGUCAGGCAUAUGUAUGCAUGCCUAUAACCCAGCACUCAUGGAAGCAGAGGCAGGAGGAUCAAACUUUUGAGCCCAGGC